GCGUAAAGCGCACGCAGGCGGUCUGUCAAGUCGGAUGUGAAAUCCCCGGGCUCAACCUGGGAACUGCAUUCGAAACUGGCAGGCUAGAGUCUUGUAGAGGGGGGUAGAAUUCCAGGUGUAGCGGUGAAAUGCGUAGAGAUCUGGAGGAAUACCGGUGGCGAAGGCGGCCCCCUGGACAAAGACUGACGCUCAGGUGCGAAAGCGUGGGGAGCAAACAGGAUUAGAUACCCUGGUAGUCCACGCCGUAAACGAUGUCGACUUGGAGGUUGUGCCCUUGAGGCGUGGCUUCCGGAGCUAACGCGUUAAGUCGACCGCCUGGGGAGUACGGCCGCAAGGUUAAAACUCAAAUGAAUUGACGGGGGCCCGCACAAGCGGUGGAGCAUGUGGUUUAAUUCGAUGCAACGCGAAGAACCUUACCUACUCUUGACAUCCAGAGAACUUAGCAGAGAUGCUUUGGUGCCUUCGGGAACUCUGAGACAGGUGCUGCAUGGCUGUCGUCAGCUCGUGUUGUGAAAUGUUGGGUUAAGUCCCGCAACGAGCGCAACCCUUAUCCUUUGUUGCCAGCGGUUAGGCCGGGAACUCAAAGGAGACUGCCAGUGAUAAACUGGA
rnacentral:rRNA from 1 species